CAGCCGCCGCGGUAAUACCGGCGGCUCGAGUGGUGGCCACUUUUAUUGGGCUUAAAGCGUUCGUAGCUGGGUUGUUAAGUCUCUUGGGAAAUCUGACGGCUCAACCGUCAGGCGUCCAAGGGAUACUGGCAAUCUUGGAACCGGGAGAGGUGAGGGGUACUUCGGGGGUAGGAGUGAAAUCCUGUAAUC
rnacentral:rRNA from 1 species